GAUCACAGUCUAAUCACCCUGCAGCUCAAGACUGGUUACUCACUUAAGCUAAGCAGGGCUGAGCCUGGUUAGCACUUGGAUGGGAGACCACAUGGGAAAACUAGGUUGCUGUUGGAA
rnacentral:rRNA from 1 species